rnacentral:tRNA from 2 species
GCGGGAAUAGCUCAGUUGGUAGAGCACGACCUUGCCAAGGUCGGGGUCGCGAGUUCGAGUCUCGUUUCCCG